AUUUUAAGUUGUCUGAUGAUGCAUCACAUGUACGUCCUCACCCAUUAAUGACUUUGGCUACACAUCAGACACCAUAUGACUUGACUACAACCACAUUUUUUGUUCAUGAGAGUGGACCUCCUCGUACCACUAAGGGCAGUAUAGAGCACAAUCGUAUGGAGGGCACAUACACUGAUAUUACAGACACACAAGAUGGUGCAUCUCAGGAGCACAUCUAGCAGGAUGAUGCAUCUCAGUCAUCUUCGCAUGGAGUGAAGAGGACUGCAUAUCAGAUGCACGAGAGAUCUUAUAUUAUAUAUGUUAGAACAUGUUAUGUUAUUAUAUUAUGGACUUUUUAUGACGACACUAGUUAUGUU